AGUCUUUUCCUGGCGAUGGAGGAAGAUAAGAUUGAUAUGGCUUAUGAGGCAUUGGAAGACAAAGUAAAAGCUGAAGACUUGGACAGGGUAUAUGUGAAAGCACAUCUUCUCCAGCGCAAGGACAUUAUUCAGAUACUGAAGCCGAAGUCAAACCUCGAGUGGGAGGAGGUCAUAAAGAAAGUUCUCGAGAGGUACCAGGAACGUGAGGACCAGGUGAUAUGCGCAGCGAGAAGAGGCCGUUACCGUUCUGGAGUAGAUCUACCACUCCGUCACUUGAAGCUCCCAGCCACAAUGAGAGACGCUGAGGGCAAAACCAUCCUCCAUCACGCUGUUUACGCAAAGGAUGACAAGGGAUUUCCCAAAUGGUCAUUGAAAAGUCUGCGUUCUUUGCUGGAAGACCACCAUUGUUUUGUAAAUGCAGUGGAUUAUGAAGGUCGCACGUGUCUCCACAUCUUGGCCGAAAGAGCACCUUCAGUCCACUCUCUCAAGCGGGAUGGUCAGAUCGCUCAAGAUCCUGAUGUAUGGCUGAAGAUGGCCAAGAUUCUCAUAGAAUUCGGCUGCCGUUCGGUUCAAGAUUACUCAGAACAUUUACCUCAUGAAAUCGCGAAGCAAAAUGGAAAUGUUCAACUCUCAAAUUACCUACAACAGGAGUAUCAGAAACUAGUCGUUGAAAAUGCAGAGGAAAGCGAUUCAUUUGAAGAACUGGUUGCUGCUGCUCAAGAAAAUGAUGUGAAAAACCUGGAAAAGUUACUGGUGCAUGUAAGUCCUCUCCUUCCGCUGGAUGCGACACAAGAUCCCUUGACAGAGGCUGUGAAACGAGGAAACCUUGAUGCUGCUUUGGUAUUGAUGUGUGCCGGGGCUCCGCUUUGUGGGCUGCCCUUGGAUUGCAUCACACCCUUGGAGGCUGCUCACGGCAGGGCAGAUCUUCUAGCUCUCCUGCCUGCCAUUCUGAGAAAGGAAUAUGCCAACAAACUAAAAGAUGAAGCAAGCCGCAUAAGCAGUAGAGAUCCACAAAGUGUAGAUUUACAAGAAAAUAUAGAAGGAUUUGCAACAGAGGUAGAAGAAAUUGGUCCAAAAGCCGUGUGGAGGUUCACCAGAGAUUACGAAGAAGAUAAAGAAGCCCGCAGCAAGAAGGCAAGGGAAUUGCUCUGUGCAGCUGCAGGACUCGGCCUUCCGCUCUCAUGUCAGAUGUUGGGCCUCGAGGACGUCCACCUUCACCCUCUGCCUCGGGAAGACACACCAAUAAGGAGUGCGCUGAAGGGCAAAAAGGAGAACAUGCUGUACAUUCUGUUUAGAGAUCUACACAUGUCUCUGUCUGCUGAAAGUGAUAGCAGGCUUCCUAGUGCAUUUUACAAGGAAGCUUUGAAAAGUGAACUUAAGAAAUUCAAACAGUUUUGCAUAAGAAUGAAAUUGUUAGCAGGAGAAGAGCCCGAUUCUCUUCUUCAUGAACUCUCUGGUGCUCUGAAUGGUUCACUAAAAAGCAGCAUUAGCAAAGAUAUGAUGUUAUGCAUAUCUGGAUAUGGGUUAGUUUUGCUGCUAAGUAAGUUCAUUAAACAUACCGAUAUCAACUGCGUAAUUGAUGACAUAAGUGGUUUUACAAUGUUACAUGUUUCAGCACUCUAUGGAAGAUUGGCCAUGGUAGAAUAUCUGCUCUUCAAUGGAGCUGAUAUAAAUAUUGAGUCAAAGGAUGGAUUCACAGCUGCACAUGUGGCAGCUAUGAAAGGCCAAAUGGAAUGUGUGGCUUAUCUACAAGCCUUUCAGUCGCGUGGUCGCACUGAAGCAGAACAAGACACUUCGACUAUUCCUGUAAGCAUUCAUGAGCUUGCUGAAGGAUAUAAAGCACUAGUGAAGGAAUUUUCGCCAUUACUUUUACCUGCGAAAUUUGGACUUGAUAUUCUGAGUAAGCCACAAGACGAAAGUAGAACAAAGUUAAUCCUUCAGAGAAAAAUGGAACAUCUAAAUAUUUCAGAUAAUGAUAGUUUCAGAACAUACAUUGCUGACUGGAGAAGAAAAGCAAGGAAUGGAAAUACAAUUGAAAGAGAGAUGGAGAGUCUUCUUCAAGAAAUGGGAGGAAAAACCAACUCCAAGUUCAAAGGGAAGCUUGUUCAAAGAGACCCCAAGUCGACUGUAGUAAAUGACUUUACCAAUGAUUUUUUACAGAUGUUUUGGGAAGUUGAAAAAAAGUCAUAUGGAGAUUAUCAAGUAAUCCACAACAGCGAAGAAGUUUGCUCAAUUGAAGUUAAAUAUGAAGACCAAAAAAUGAAUGCAAUUGCGAAGCGUUUUAGAGAAGAAUUCUAUGAUGAAGUUAAAACAACGCUUGCUACAUACAAGUUCAAAAUUCCGACAAUUUGGCGAUCAUAUCCACGUAUAGCCAUGGAGGAGAUAGGUGUGACUAUUUACUUGGUCUGGUAUGAUGGAAAUAUAACAAGGCAAGUGAGAGUACUCAUUGUCCCUUUACUGAGGACUGGAUACCCAGAGGAUACUGAUGGCCUUCCAGCAUUGGUGAGGGACUGUUUACAAGAGGAAGUUCCUGUUUAUAUCACUAGAACAAAGGAAAAUGGUAAAUGGAUUUAUGUGAUGACACAGCUUGAAGACAUGAUCGUUUCUAGGUUAACAGAUGAGCAGCAGUUAGUACUGUCUGCAUGCAGGUUCUUGUGCAACGUCCUUAACCCUUGCUGGUGGUUUCCCCGAGUACAAAGCAAGAGACAUGGCAGUAUUUGGCACUCGUAUGCCAUCAGCGCUAGUGAUGUCCCAGAUCACAAGCAGAUCGUGACGCUAUUUCUUGAAGAGAUCACACAAACCCAAGAAAAGGACUGGGAAUCUUCAAAGUUCCUUGAGCGUGUCUCAGGGGUUUACAAAAGAGCCACAUAUAAUGACAACUCAAAUAACCCUCGCACUUUGGAACGCCUGAAAACAUUCCUCGAUCCGAAGCACAGUCAUUUCAUACCGUCUAGUGGUGCAUUAGCAAUUGUUGACGCCCUGAGCUCUUUACAAAUGGAAGUACCAAAAUCCAGAAGAAGACACAUAUUUGUGUGCUGAUUCAGUGUUAUUUAUUAUGGCAUUAGUAUUCAUAUCAUAAUGGCGUGCAAAUGUGAAAGUUAGAUUUUUGUGCCCUGGCAGCGUACCUUAUAUGGAUGUCCUAAUAUACAGGUAAUGAUACACGCUGUCCAAAGUUUAGAUAAAAAGAAUAACCACCGUCGGAAACAGGUGUAUUGUAAUUAUAUAAAGUCGCACAUUAUGAUUAACAAUGAGCUCGACUGAUUCUCUAUCCAUAACAAAAUAUAUUUUUAUUCUAGAAUUAAACCAUAAAUUUCAUUAAUUAUUAUGAAUAUUGUAUGGCUGAUCUGUGUAUAUGUCAAGUUGAAAUUGAUAUUUAGAAAUAUGAUGAUAUGUAUAUAUUCUUUAGCCAUUAGUUUAUGAUAAACCUAGUUUCUUUUCUAGUUUUCUUAAUAAUGAUGUAUAUUUAUUUAAUCUGACAUCCAUUAAGGAAUACAAUCAUAGUUUUAAUCAAUUAUAUAAGCAAACACAUUUAGCACUUGCUUGAUACCAUUACUUUGUUGUCAAGAUCAUAUUUGACAAAUACUCUUGAUAGAAUUCUGGAGGGUGAUCAUACUCAGCUAGUCUUAUAUCUUCAUGAAAGAAAAAGGAAAAGAAAUGGAGUUUUAUCUUCUAAUUAGGAUUAAAGCUAAUGCCACAACCUCUUCGCUAACACCGUCGAUGGUCGCCCUGACUUCGGUAUGCGGAAGUUACCCCCCCUAGGAUGGUUCACCUGUGAUCGGUCGAGGUAUGAUUUUGAGGAAUGAAGAAGCGUAGAGCUGGUACGACGACCGAGCAGAAAAGGAGCAGUUUUUGUGAUUCUCUCCAGUUGACACAGCAGCCAUGUUUGUGUGACCCGCUGUUCUCCUCUCCGCCAUGUGGCCUCUGCCUGUCCUGUCCUGUCCUGCUGAUGUGUUCUGUGCCUGUUCUUAGUGUAUGAAUUGGAUGUUAUACCCUGUAAUAAACCCAUAUUUGUU
rnacentral:misc_RNA from 1 species